rnacentral:rRNA from 1 species
AACGAACGCUGGCGGCGCGCCUAAUACAUGCAAGUCGAGCGAGAAGGUGUAGCAAUACACUUGUAAAGCGGCGAACGGGUGAGGAAUGCAUGGGUAACCUACCCUCGAGUGGGGAAUAACUAGCCGAAAGGUUAGCUAAUACCGCAUACGUUUCCGGAACUUCGGUUUCGGAAAGAAAGCAAUACCGUGGGUAUUGCGCUCAUGGAUGGGCUCAUGUCCUAUCAGCUUGUUGGUGAGGUAACGGCUCACCAAGGCUUCGACGGGUAGCUGGUCUGAGAGGACGAUCAGCCACACUGGCACUGCGACACGGGCCGGACUCCUACGGGAGGCAGCAGUAAGGAAUAUUGCGCAAUGGACGAAAGUCUGACGCAGCGACGCCGCGUGGGGGGAUGAAGGUCUUCGGAUUGUAAACCCCUUUCGGGAGGGAAGAUGGAGUGGGUAACCACUUGGACGGUACCUCCAGAAGCAGCCACGGCUAACUUCGUGCCAGCAGCCGCGGUAA